rnacentral:rRNA from 1 species
CCUGUUUAACAAAAACAUGUCUUUUUGAGUUAUUUUUAAAGUCUGCCCUGCCCACUGAAAUUAUUUAAAUGGCCGCAGUAUUCUAACUGUGCAAAGGUAGCAUAAUCAUUAGUCUUUUAAUUGAAGGCUGGUAUGAACGGUUGGACGAGGUAUAAGCUGUUUCAUAUAAAUUUAUAAUAGAAUUUUAUAUUUUAGUCAAAAAGCUAAAAUUUUAUUAAAAGACGAGAAGACCCUAUAAAUCUUUAUACUUUGKGUUGUUUAAAUUUUUUAGACUUAUUUUAUUUUUAUGGCUUAAAGUAUUUUGUUGGGGUGAUAUUAAAAUUUGAUGAACUUUUAAUKGUUUAAGAUCAUUAAUUUAUGAUUUAUUGAUCCAUUAAUAGUGAUUAUAAGAUUAAGUUACUUUAGGGAUAMCAGCGUAAUUUUUUUGGAGAGUUCUUAUCGAUAAAAAAGUUUGCGACCUCGAUGUUGGAUUAAGAUAUAUUUUUAGGUGUAGCCGCUUAAAU